AACGAACGCUGGCGGCAUGCUUAACACAUGCAAGUCGAACGAAGCAUAGGACUUCGGUCCUAUGACUGAGUGGCAGACGGGUGAGUAACGCGUGGGAAUCUACCUUUUUGUGGGGGAUAACUGAGGGAAACUUCAGCUAAUACCGCAUAAGCUCUAUGGAGGAAAGGCUUCGGCCGCUGAAAGAGGAGCCCGCGUCAGAUUAGGUAGUUGGUGGGGUAAAAGCCUACCAAGCCAAUGAUCUGUAGCUGGUCUGAGAGGAUGAUCAGCCGCACUGGAACUGAGACACGGUCCAGACUCCUACGGGAGGCAGCAGUGGGGAAUAUUGGACAGUGGGGGCAACCCUGAUCCAGCAAUGCCGCGUGUGUGAAGAAGGCCUGAGGGUUGUAAAGCACUUUCAGUGGGGAGGAGGUUCGAUAGGUUAAGGGCUGAUUGAAUGGACGUUACCCACAGAAGAAGCACCGGCUAACUCCGUGCCAGCCGCCGCCGUAA
rnacentral:rRNA from 1 species